rnacentral:pre_miRNA from 1 species
AGAAUGCACAUUAAUUAUCCCUCGGGCCAUGGGAUAAACAAAAACCCUACAAAACCAAGUUAGCAUACCCUAGAAUGGUUCUAGCACAAUUACAAACCUAUGACUCUAAUACCAAUUGAUGGAAAAAAAAA